AUGUGUGUCGACUUCACCAACCUCAACAAAGCAUGCCCGCAAGAUCCGUUCCCGCUUCCCCGCAUCGACCAGAUCGUCGAUUCCACUACGGAAUGCGACCUGUUAUGCUUCUUGGAUGCCUUCUCUGGGUAUCACCAGAUCAAGAUGGCGGUAGAAGACUUCGAGAAGUCAGCCUUCCUAAACUCGUGUGGGGUGUACUGCUACGCGUGCAUGCCAUUCGGGCUGCGUAACGCAGGGGCGACCUUCCAGCGGCUGAUGCACAUCACCUUGGGCCCGCAACUCGAGAAGAAUGUUGAAGCUUACGUCGACGACAUUGUGGUAAAGUCUCGGGAGGCCAGGACCUUGAUACAAGACUUGGAGGAAACCUUUGCGAGCCUCAACGCAGUGAACCUACGGCUCAACCCAGAGAAGUGUGUGUUUGGAGUCCCCUCGGGCAAGCUCUUGGGUUUCCUCGUGUCCCACCGAGGCAUCGAGGCUAACCCGGAGAAGGUCAAGGCGGUGGAAGACAUGAGCCCGCCAAAGACCCUCAGAGAAAUGCAGAAACUCACGGGGCGCGUGACCGUGCUAGGGCGCUUCAUCUCCAAGUUGGGGGAACGAGCGCUGCCUUUCUUCCAGCUAAUGAAGAAAAAGGGGCCCUUCGAGUGGACUGAAGAGGCCGACAAGGCGUUCCAGGAUCUCAAGAGAUACCUGACCAGCCCAUCGGUCAUGGUGGCUCCGCGCCCUCAAGAGCCCCUGGUGCUUUACCUCGCCGCCACUCCCUACUCCGCCAGCGCAGCCUUGGUGGCAGUCAGAGAGGAGCGCCGAAUCAAAACCGCGGCAGCAGCCCGGGACAAGGCCGAACAUGGACAAGGAAGGCCUACAUAA
rnacentral:rRNA from 1 species